rnacentral:rRNA from 1 species
UACGAAGGGGGCUAGCGUUGUUCGGAAUUACUGGGCGUAAAGCGCGCGCAGGCGGUCUUCCAAGUCAGUGGUGAAAGCCCUGGGCUCAACCUGGGAACUGCAUUGGAUACUGGCGAUCUGGAGUGCGGUAGAGGGUGGCGGAAUUCCCGGUGUAGCAGUGAAAUGCGUAGAUAUCGGGAGGAACAUCCGUGGCGAAGGCGGCCACCUGGACCAGCACUGACACUGAGGCACGAAAGCGUGGGGAGCAAACAGG